AUUCAGCGGCGGACGGGUGAGUAACGCGUGAGCAACCUGCCUUCAACAGGGGAUAACGCAUCGAAAGAUGUGCUAAUACCGCAUGAGACCACAACAUCACAUGGUGAAGGGGUCAAAGGAGCAAUCCGGUUGAAAGAUGGGCUCGCGUCCGAUUAGCUGGUUGGUGAGACAACAGCCCACCAAGGCGACGAUCGGUAGCCGACCUGAGAGGUGAUCGGCCACAUUGGAACUGAGAUACGGUCCAGACUCCUACGGGAGGCAGCAGUGGGGAAUAUUGGGCAAUGGGCGAAAGCCCUGACCCAGCAACGCCGCGUGAGGGUAAGAAGGGUUUCGGCUCGUAAACCUCUGUCCUGUGGGACGAAGGAAGUGACGGUACCACAGGAGGAAGCCCCGGCUAACUACGUGCCAGCCGCUGC
rnacentral:rRNA from 1 species